GAGGGCAAGUCUGGUGCCAGCAGCCGCGGUAAUUCCAGCUCCAAUAGCGUAUAUUAACGUUGUUGCAGUUAAAAAGCUCGUAGUUGAAAUGAAGGGUAGUUGUGUAAUGAAUACAUUCGUGUAUUUUGUUAUUCUACUACCCUCCUUCUAAAUUCGAUAUAUGAGUAUUAAUUUACUUGUAUAUGGUUUUAGACGUUUACUGUGAGAAAAUUAGAGUGUUCAAAGCAGGCAUUUGCUUGAAUAUAUUAGCAUGGAAUAAUCAUGUAUGAUUUUCAUGAUGUAUUUGAUUGGUUUGGUUCA
rnacentral:rRNA from 1 species